CUGGUGAAAGAAUUUCGAAAACUUUAGAUGAUGUGUCUUAUCAUUACUCAAAGUACCUAUCAACUGUAGUAGAUCCAUCAACUCUUUUGGAAUAAUAUUUGUUCUACAUACAGGGUAACCUGUAAAAUAUUGGCUAGAGUAGGAACUUUUCAACA